CUACGGGCGGCUCCAGUGGGGAAUAUUGCACAAUGGGGGAAACCCUGAUGCAGCGGCGCCGCGUGAAGGAAGAAGUAUUUCGGUAUGUAAACUUCUAUCAGCAGGGAAGAAAAUGACGGUACCUGACUAAGAAGCCCCGGCUAACUACGUGCCAGCAGCCGCGGUAAUACGUAGGGGGCAAGCGUUAUCCGGAUUUACUGGGUGUAAAGGGAGCGUAGGCGGCAUGGUAAGUCUGGUGUGAAAGGCAGGGGCUCAACCCCUGGACUGCAUUGGAAACUAUCAAGCUAGAGUGCCGGAGAGGUAAGUGGAAUUCCUAGUGUAGCGGUGAAAUGCGUAGAUAUUAGGAGGAACACCAGUGGCGAAGGCGGCUUACUGGACGGUAACUGACGCUGAGGCUCGAAAGCGUGGGGAGCAAACAGGAUUAGAUACCCCAGUAGUC
rnacentral:rRNA from 1 species